GAGACACAGAACGGAGAUCUCGUCAGAUCAAGAUCUCCGCCAGGUAUUUGCGCACUUUGCUCCUGGACACCGGGACAUGCUUCGCGAAUCUGGGACAAACCAGGAGGAGGUUUGAGCUUCAGUGGCUCCUGGCCUUCGUACUCCGUACAUGGUGGAUUGAGAGAUGAUGUCGGGGAAGGAAUCACCUGAGUAGUCACCACACGAAGAUGACGGCCGUGUUUGGACAUGCACGAUUACAAUGUUGGCAUACAUGUGACACGCUACCUUGAACAUAUAUGCGAGAUGAUGAAACGGGUAUGUAAUAUUGUAUCGAUCAUCGAAAUUGAAAACUUGAAUGGGGUGCGACAAAUUUCCCCCUGGAUGCAAGAUCAAUGUGCUGAUGGUAGAGACGUGUAUGUACAUGUACAGCUCUUUGUCAAUCCACUGCUGGAUGAGGGCCUUCCGAUGCCGUGCAGAUCGUGGAGGUUGUUUGACCAUCGCCACACGGUCGAGUGCAGGUUGGUGAAGGUGUGGUGCUAAUACGUGGGAGCAAAGAAGUAUAGUACAGCAAAACAAUGCAUUGACAUGCAUUACACUUUGGUAUUCCAAAUGUUGGAACAUCUAGUCUGCAAGUACCGUAUGCUUAACUUACUUUUUUUUAAAACAGUUGCUGAGCGCCGGGCAAAGGGGGGCGGAAUUGCAAAGUCGAACAAUGCGAGGGAAUAAGAAGAAAGAGGAGUGUUUUGAUCUGCAGUGUUAGUGAUUGAACGCAGUGUGGGUGCAAUGAAACGGCGAGAAUGGUAGAGGUGCACUCGUCGAAAUGUCUCCCAGAUAGCGACCACAACCACCCUCAACAUCCACCUCUAUAGCAGACCUCACCAGCCGGCGACAAAGGUAGCGCAGCAAGAUAAGGCACAGCCCCGUCUAUUCAUGCCUUCUGGUCUUUAUUUUAUACAGUGUCGUAAUUUUUACUAAUGUAUAAACAGUCCGUAGGCAUGAGCCCUCCAAAUGAUCUACAUUUGAAGCAAUUGCUCCAUUACCACAUAUACAAAUUAGCAGACUACCUGGUUAGGUCAUCAUGGGCUCACAGCAUUCCCACCUCUCACCACAAAGCACUUAUUACGAUGCUAUGCAUAUGGAUAGUUCACGUCACUUUUACACACAAAUAGCAAAUGUUGUUUAAUUGCCACGAACAAAAUGAGGAAAAAUAAACACCGUAAUUCCGAUACAAAUCAAAACAUUUCUUUCGUAAGCUGUCACCCUUGUAGGUCACUGCAUCAUGAAUGACCACUGCCAAUCUUGGAAUCGUCCAAAAAUGAACCAGUUGUUGGGCGAUACCAGAUAAUGAUGUAAAUACCUCAAUUAGGCCUAAACGUCUGCAAUUAAGAAAACCAAACCAAGCACCUGAAAGCAAUUUGUAUAAACAAACAUCAGCACAUCUGCAGUUUUUGUUGUAUACUGUAUGUAAAAUGUAACAAAUAAUUCCAAAGCUUUGCAAAGGCAGUGUAACGAUGAGGAUGUAAGAAGGCAGAUUAAUGAAAUGCAUUCGUGCCACCCAGUCUCUUCAAUACUUUUGGCUGCUGACCUACAUCAGAGGGAGCCAUCAAACGCUCCGCACUAGUCACUGAUAAUACUUUUGUAUUUGCGUUUUUGUUUUCUCUGUUGUGUAUAUUAUAUACACAUAUUGCCUCAACUGUGUUGUUUGUGAACAUAUUUGUCUGCAGUAACUUCCUCGCCGAGUAUUGAUCUCAAAUUCCCCGUUCGAGCGCCUCCAAAUGUGCUGUGUGGCAAGGAGGCGCGUGUUGAGACGAAAUGACGACUGUGUCAAAUGUGUCCUCCCGACAGUGUCGACUGGGGUAUCGCACCGUUGGACGGACACAUUGGACGGACACGUUGGCAGAAACUUGGAGCGUCGUUUCUUGCAGUCCCCGACCUUAUUUCCACCAGCUGUGUGCAGGAUAGACAUAUAACGUAGCCUUCGCUCAGGCAUAACUCCGGGAAAGUUGACAAUGAAGGGGGCUUAGUUGUGCUGCAUCAAUGUAAUGUAUAUACAGUUUGAUGAGUAAUGUUGUUGGACGUACUUCAACAUUACCAUGCUAAUUAUGGCAACAAGUACACUAGGCCGGAUGCUUUGGGGCAAUGGCUCUUCCCUUCAAAAGAGAGUAAAGGCCGUUGCCUAAUACAUCAUACUAUACAUUACAUGCGUCUGUCAUUAACGCUACAUACGCCAGACGAUAAUUUUAAGCCCUGCUGGAUGAAGGCCUCGCCACGAUGUGUUGAUCAUGGGGCUUGUUUGAACCAUACUUCAUGCUGGUCAGUGCGGGUUUGGUGGAGGUGGAACCAGAACGAAUUCAGUUAUCACUUCCUCACUGAUGUUAGCCGUGGCCAGGAAUCAAACUCGGGUUUCCAGGUUUUUCGGGCAGUGCAUAAAUUCCGAUGCCUCUGCUCCGUCCCCAAUGUAAUUAAAAGGCAGGGUUGAUGCUGACUAUGGCAAUACUUUUUUCACCACUGCCAAAGCAUUAUUUUGUCUACUUCCAUGCUAACGAUGGUUAGUUUAUGAAGUCAUUUGUUACGCCAUUCUAAGUAUUCACUCGCUUUAAUUGCCCUGUGAUGUCCCAGUGAAGCAAUCAACAGCAGCCUCCACUCGUCAAUUCUCCAACAGCGUUAAUGUCAGCGUAAGUAGCCCUGCUGUGUGAUAUUGCUUCUCUUAUUACUCCGCGCAGCAGCUUCACUUUGGUUUUGCCCACGGCUGUUUGGAGAUUGGGAAUGCGCGCGUGCUGUGGGGAAAUUAAAGGGGAAUUUUUUUACCGAUACAGUCUGCUUCAUGGGAAUCCAGUUUGCAUCCCAAAUCCUGUAUUUUUGUGGCCCUAAAACACAUCUCGUGGUACAAAUUAUAAAACGGCACGUUGUACAAAACGCAUGCGUCUCAAGCACUCGCGUUAACGAGAAAAAAGUGUCGACAAAAUAGGUUCCAGUUUAAAACAAUUACUUCUAUAAUUCACAGUAUAAGGGUUCGACUAAAGCCAGAAAGCGUCCAUAAGCCCUCCCUGCAGCUCAUUAAAAAUACAUCAGUCAAAGAGUAAUCCUGGUAAGACAUCGGAGGGAUAGAUUUACUCCGAAAGAGAUAAAUAAAGUCAACAUUUAGAUCGGCAGGCCUUUUCUCCUCCGAUAAUCAGCUGUUGCCCAUCACCCUAAGCCACAUGAUGCACAGGGGCAAUUGUUUCCGGCAAUAGUCACUGGUAAUGCAUUUACAAUGAGCAACUGUGGCAAGUUGAUGAAAGCAAAUACAAAUUAGUUCUAUCCGGCAAUUAAAACAUUGUUAAAAAGUGAAUUGAUGAACAGUGGUCUUGGGCAGUCAUGCGACCUCUGAUCUCUAUGAUUUUGAUUGGACAUUGCGCCUACUAGGAUGAUCAGCGAUCCUAUCUGUCCAGAUCUGGGCGACUCAGUUUUUACAACAGAAUAUCGGCCAAUAACUAUUAACAAAA